rnacentral:rRNA from 1 species
AGUGAACGCUGGCGGUAGGCCUAACACAUGCAAGUCGAACGGCAGCACAGUAAGAGCUUGCUCUUACGGGUGGCGAGUGGCGGACGGGUGAGGAAUACAUCGGAAUCUACUUUUUCGUGGGGGAUAACGUAGGGAAACUUACGCUAAUACCGCAUACGACCUACGGGUGAAAGCAGGGGAUCUUCGGACCUUGCGCGAUUGAAUGAGCCGAUGUCGGAUUAGCUAGUUGGCGGGGUAAAGGCCCACCAAGGCGACGAUCCGUAGCUGGUCUGAGAGGAGGAUCAGCAACACUGGAACUGAGAAACGGUCCAGACUCCUACGGGAGGCAGCAGUGGGGAAUAUUGGACAAUGGGCGAAAGCCUGAUCCAGCCAUACAGCGUGGGUGAAGAAGGCCUUCGGGUUGUAAAGCCCUUUUGUUGGGAAAGAAAAGCAGCAGGUUAAUACCCCGCUGUUCUGACGGUACCCAAAGAAUAAGCACCGGCUAACUUCGU